rnacentral:rRNA from 1 species
GCAGCCGCCGCGGUAAUACGUAGGUCCCGAGCGUUGUCCGGAUUUAUUGGGCGUAAAGCGAGCGCAGGCGGUUAGAUAAGUCUGAAGUUAAAGGCUGUGGCUUAACCAUAGCACGCUUUGGAAACUGUUUAACUUGAGUGCAAGAGGGGAGAGUGGAAUUCCAUGUGUAGCGGUGAAAUGCGUAGAUAUAUGGAGGAACACCGGUGGCGAAAGCGGCUCUCUGGCUUGUAACUGACGCUGAGGCCCGAAAGCGUGGGGAGCAAACAGGAUUAGAUUCCCCUGUAGUCCCUGUCUCUUAUACA